rnacentral:rRNA from 1 species
AACGAACGCUGGCGGCGUGCUUAACACAUGCAAGUCGAACGCGAAGGGACUUCGGUCCUGAGUAAAGUGGCGCACGGGUGAGUAACGCGUAGAUAACCUGUCUUCAUGUCUGGAAUAAUACGCCGAAAGGGGUACUAAUACCGGAUAUUCUUGCUUUUCAUAAGUUAUGCAAGCAAAGGUGGCCUCUGCAUAUGCUACUGCAUGAAGAGGGGUCUGCGUACCAUUAGCUAGUAGGUGGGGUAAUGGCCUACCUAGGCGACGAUGGUUAGCGGGUCUGAGAGGAUGAUCCGCCACACUGGCACUGGAACACGGGCCAGACUCCUACGGGAGGCAGCAGUGAGGAAUAUUGCGCAAUGGGGGAAACCCUGACGCAGCGACGCCGCGUGAGUGAAGGAAGGCCUUCGGGUCGUAAAGCUCUGUCAAGAGGAAAGAAGUGUACAAUGGCUAAUACCUGUUGUAUUUGACGGUACCUCUAAAGGAAGCACCGGCUAACUCCGUGCCAGCAGCCGC